rnacentral:rRNA from 1 species
AUAAACGCUGGCGGCGUGCUUCAGGCAUGCAAGCCGAACGAGCGACCCGGCUGCGGGAAGCGAGUGGCGGACGGGUGAGUAACACGUAAGCAACCUGCCCAGAAGUGUGGAAUAAACCCACCGAAAGGUGAGCUAAUACCGCAUGUGGUGGUCCUUCCCUGGAGGGAUCACUAAAGGAGUAAUUCGCUUUUGGAGGGGCUUGCGGCCGAUUAGCUAGUUGGUGGGGUAACGGCCUACCAAGGCGACGAUCGGUAGCUGGUC